rnacentral:rRNA from 1 species
UACGUAGGCAGCGAGCGUUGUUCGGAGUUACUGGGCGUAAAGGGUGUGUAGGCGGUUCUUUAAGUUUGGUGUGAAAUCUCCCGGCUCAACCGGGAGGGUGCGCCGAAUACUGAGGGACUAGAGUGCGGGAGAGGAAAGUGGAAUUCCUGGUGUAGCGGUGAAAUGCGUAGAUAUCAGGAGGAACACCUGCGGUGUAGACGGCUUUCUGGACCAUUGUUGACGCUGAGACACGAAAGCGUGGGUAGCAAACAGG